AAGGGAUAGUUUAGCCAAGAUUGGGUUCAUCCAAAAUUUCAACCAUUGUCAAUAGAUACGGGGGUUUAAGUUAAGAUCCUUUUAGCUCCGCAAAAGACAAAGCAGUAUCUACACCAUUUAAUUUAAAACCCUAAUUCUUUGAGGAGGUGAUUUGAUCACCACCCUCCUUUGCUACUUCCACCAUCAGAACCCUUGCCCCCAAGAGCUUGCUGCUUUGCCCCAUGAAUUAGUCAGUUUUGCACCUUCUUCAGUUCCUUGUUUUGCCUCACCAGAUUGAUUCCAACUAGAGGAUUGACCCCCGCUUGCAGCACUUGAUUGCUUCCAGUCAGAUGAUUGACCUCCAACAGCAGCACUUGGUUGCUCUCCGGUACCGCCUCCAAAUCCUGAACCUGUUCCUUUGUUCCAACCUGAACCCUGGUUGCCCCAGCCCCCAGCUUGUGCGUUUGAGCUCGGUCCCUUGUUCCAGCCGCCGUCUUGAUCAGUGUUUCCUUUGACUUCUUUGGCUGCAGUCGAUUGUUUCCACCUAGACGAUUGGUCCCCAUUAGAAGCAUCUGAUGAUUUCCAAUUGUUUCCCCAGCUUGUGCCCACUUCAUUAUGAGAACCUGUUCCCUUGUCCUGAGUGCCAGCAGUAUAUUUAGCCUCAACUGUCUGAUUCCAACCUGAUCCCGAACCACCAAUUCCUUUAGUCACAUCAGACUGGUUCCAACCGGAGCUCUGGCUACUCCAUCCGCUAGAGUUCCUACCCUGCCAAUCGUUCUUACUGCCACCUCCUUGGUUCCAACUUCCUCCACCUUUGUCCCUUUUCCAUCCCUCGCCAGCACCGUCUGCCCCUUUGCUCCAGCCUGAUGAGUUAUUAUCAAUAGAUUCAUUUCUAUUGCUCCAACCACCACUUUGAUACCUCCCACGGCCUCUUCCUCCGUAGCCUCUACCACCAAACCCUCCUUUGUCUGAUCUACCUCUACCACCAAAGCUCCCUCUGUCUCCGCCUCUACCACCAAAACCCCAUCUACGUCCAAAACCCCCUCUAUCCUCCUCUCUAUCACCACCUCUACCUACAAAACCCCGUCCACCUCUAAAACCUCCUCCGUCUGAAUUUCCUCUACCUGAACCACCUCUCCAAUUCCCACCACUUCGAUUAUUAUUGAAAUCCUCAGGUUGGUCUCCAUUCACACCAUCCAUUGAUUGACUGCCACCAAAAGAACUUGCCCUCUUCCAACCAUUAUCUUGAUUCCCCACUCCGCCAGACUCAUGUCCUGCUGUUACAUCAGCUUGUUUACCCCAUGAAGACCAUCCAGCUUGUUUACUCCAAUAAGAAUCUCCUGCUGGUUUAUUCCAAGCAGAACUGCCAUCUUGUUUAUUCCAAGUAGAACCUUCACCUUGUUUGUUCCAUGUAGGAUCUCCAUCUUGUUUAGUCCAAGUAGAACCUCCAUCUGAUUUACCCCAGGAAGCUCUUCUAUUGUCAUCUACACCACUUGGUUUCUUCCAACUGUCAUUCUGAUUCUCAUUAAUAAAAGCAGGUUUUGUCCAGCCACUUGCUUCAUCUUUGUUUCCUGCCUCUGAUUGGGCCCAAACCCCAUCUGCAUUACCCCAGCUUCCUAUCUGAACAUGCGGACUCACCAUUGGCACAUAAAGCGGAGCAUCAUUCAAUGAUCUUGGUGCAGACCAUGGUGCUGCUGUUGAUGACGAUGCACCUUGUAAUGAUGCGGAUCCGCCAUUACCACAUCCAGAUGGGGGUUCAGAUUCUCUUGCAGCUGUAGGAUCAGGGUGAUUAAACCUGCAGUUUGUACCAAACAUGCAGGAGGCAUUUCGCAUAUAGAAGGAACAGUCUUUCUCCCCCUGUAACAAGUUAAAAUAAAUAUUCAGGUAGCACACCAAUAAAAUAAGCAAAGAUAAAUCAUAAAUCUUAAACAUCAUGAAUAGAUAUUCAUUCCUCAAAAUUUUGCAGAUCAAACCUAGAAUUCAUACCGGUCGAAUUGGCAGGCCCAGAAAGUUACAUUCUGGAAUUGGAGCUACGGAAGGUUCCCCUCUUCCGGGAUUUAAACUACAAGCUUUUUCAUAUUUACGUCCUCCUGACCUGGAAUAAUCCUGCAACAAGCUCAAGUGUUAUACCCCAUCAUCAAAACACAAAAAACUACUUAAUACCAAAUAUAUGAAGUAAAACAAAAUCUAGACAUGAGGAACAAACAAUUGCAGUAAAAACCAUAACUUGAGAUAGAAAGUUUCUGAGAAAUCAUAACGAAAAUAACCUUGCAUUCGGUCUGGCCUGGCUUCUCUGCUGCCAACCCGUCCCUUUCCUUCAUCUUGUCCUUGGACACCUUCAAUUAAUAUGAUAAUCAGUCUCAAUCUUCCAACCAGAAACAUAAAUAUGCAAAUGCUGAAGGAAAAAGAAGAGAGAUAUACCUGAUUGUUAUAAAGCUCAUCAUGGACGUCUGGGUCGAAUUUUCGAAUCUUAUCAAGCAGGGCAGGGUCGAGUUUCCGAAUUUUAUCAAGGCGGGCAUCAAGUUUCCGAAUCUCUUCAAGGAUGGCAAGAUCGAGAUCAGAGAGUUCAGCAUUUGGCGGAACGUCGGGAUUUGGGAGGCCGAUGGGAGCUGUCAACAUCACUGCUGAUCGUGUUUUUGAUGAAGGAAGCUGGGUUGCUGGGUUUGCUUACACCCUGCAGUGCCAGUCACAUAUCAUCACACAUCUGAUUACCACGGCAUUGAAUUCGAGUUUGAUUCCCUUCCCUUUAGUUUUGGCUUGUGGAAAUUGGGCCAGUGUUUUGAUUGGUAAAAUCAAAGUCACCUGCUUUUUCCUUUUCUCUUUCCGUCCUGAAUUUUUCUUCGUCUCGAAGAAAAACUCACGACAGGAAACAUUGUGGACUUGAACCUUCUCCUUCAAUCACAAACACCAACCUCCUUUAUGUGUUAUUUGUUUGAGUUGCUUAAUUUCACUGACCUAUUACCAAAAAAAAUUCAAACCCCAUUUACCAAGCCCAAAACCAAAGUAUGAUAUCCUUCUUAGUAAAGUUAUACCUAAUUUGUAUUUAAAAGAAAACCCCCUCUCUAUCCCUUGUUGGCGGUAGUUUUGGUUUUGGAGGGACUAAAAAGUUAUCCAUUACAGAAGUGGCCAAUUGAAGAUACUCGGGAAGUUAUCCAUUCCAUCAAGUUCUCACAUCUGAAACUGAAAGGCCUGUGGCAGCUGGGAUAAAAAGUUUGAUACAUUUCCAAGACUAAAUAACAUAAAAGGAGUUGCAUGUCCUUGGUGAUGCGAAUCCUGUGCUCUAGCAUCCAUUUCAGUUUUCAUGCAAAACUUAUUACAGUGGCUGCGACUGAUUGUAGCAUCAGUUCUACUUCUACUUCCAGAUGUUCCCUGCCCCAUUUGUAGUCGCCGGGUAGCAGAAGGGAAGUUGAUAACGACGGAUGGUCAAAUUUACAAGCUGGCCCAGAAUUGCAAAUGCCAUAGGUACUGUAUUGUGUGCAAAUGUUCUAGCCCUGGAUUUGAAACAAAUUUGGUAUUAAAAAAAAUUGUGAUCAAUGACAUGCACUAAUAAAGCGUAAUAUGUGAUCAAAGAUAGGCUCUCAUAGUUAGUCAAGAAUCUUUAUGUUGAAUACAAAGGACUGGUAAUGAACAUUUUCGUGGUGCACAUUGCUAAUUUAUCCAAAGGAAGCUAAAAAUUUGCAAAAUUUUGAACUUCCCAAUUAUUCCAUUACUUAAAAAAAUUGUGCAACAGCAACUUGUUUGAUCCUAUUCCAUAAUUAUGUAUGCACUUAAAAAAAAACACACAAUUCAAAGAAGAGUGAACUUACUGGUCUCAAAGGGAGGCCUAUGUCACUCAGUGCACAUGAGGGGAACAAUGCAGUCUGAUUUUUUGGAUGGUGAUAUUUGCAAUUAGAUAUAAACUUACAAUCCCCUGUUCUUGAGAAGUAAAUGCAAGCAGGUUGCCCAGGUCGUUCUGGGAGUUGUUCAACUUGCUUCUGCUGUGGAUGUUGUUCAUAGGCGUUAGUUUCAGUUACAAUCCCCUGUUCUUGAGAAGUAAAUGCAAGCAGGUUGCCCAGGUCGUUCUGGGAGUUGUUCAACUUGCUUCUGCUGUGGAUGUUGUUCAUAGGCGUUAGUUUCAGUUACUGAGUAGUUCAUAACAUAUGGUGGGGGGCAGGCAUGCUUCUUUCUGGAAGAUAUUCUAAAGCCUAAACCUGGCACAACCAAAAAAAAAAAAUUGAAAUGAAAACCAUGCAUGCGAAAAUGCAAAAGAGAUGCCCAUGGCAGUUGAAUAUGGCAAAUGUCAUAGCUAUGGUAUUGUGUGCAAAUGCUCUGACGCAGGGAUUUGAAACAAAACUUGUGUGAUCAAUGGCAUUGAAUAAUGAAGCGUAAUAUGUGAUCAAACACAGGCUCUCAGAGUCAUAGUUAGUCAAGAAUCUUUCUGCUGAAAGAGAAAAAAAAAAAAAAAAGACACGUCCACAACUUUCACUACAAUCUCUUCCCAAGGUCAAAUUUGUGUCAGCAAUGAACAUUUUCGUGGCACAUUGCUGAUUUAUCCAAAGGAACAUAAAAACUUGCAAAAUUUUGAGUUGUCCAAUUAUUCCGUGUUUUUAAAAAAAAAAAAUUGCGCAACAGGUACUUGUUAGAUCAUAUUCCAUAAUUAUGCAUUCACUUUGAAAAGCACAAUUCAAAGAAGAGUGAACUUACUGGUCCCAAAGGGAGGCCCUUGUCACUCAGGACACUGCAGUGUGAUUGUUUGGAUACUGAUAUUUGCAAUUAGAUCGUUCUGGGAGUUCUUCAACUUGCUUCUGCUGUGGAUGUUGUUCAUAGGAAUUGGUCUCAGUGACUGAGUGAUUCAUAACAAAGGGUGGAGGUGCAGACAUGCUUUUUUUUGGUAGAUAUUCUGGAGCCUAAACAUAGCACAACCAAAAAAAAUAAUUGAAGGGAAAAACAUGCAUGCGAAAAUGCAAAAGAGAUGCUCAUGGAAGUUGAAUAUUGUGAAUGACAUAGCUAUGGUAUUGUGUGCAAACGUUCUGACACUGGUAUUUGAAACAAAGUUAGUACAAAAUUUGUGUGAUAAAUGGCAUGAUAUAAUUAAGUGUAAUAUGCGAUCAGGCUCUCAUAGUUAGUCAAGAAUCUUUAUGUCGAAAGAGACAUGUUGGUUUUCCUCACCAAAAAAAUUAAAAAAAAGAGACAUGUCGACAACUUUCACUACAAUCUCUUCCCAGGGUCAAAUUUGUAUUAGUAAUGAUUACUUUCGUGGUACAUUGCCAAUUUAUCCAAAGGACGCUAAAACUUUGCAAAUUUUUGAAAUUUCCAAUGAUUCAAUCACUUAAAAUAUUGUACAGCAGGUACUUGUUAGAUCAUAUUCCAUAAUUAUGUAUUCACUUUAGAAAGCACAAUUCAAAGAAGAGUGAACUUACUGUUCUCAAAGGAAGGCCAUUGGCACUCAGUGCACACGAGGGGGACACUGCAGUCUGAUUUUUUUGGAUGGUGAUAUUUGCAAUUAUAUUUAAACAUACAAUCCCCUGUUCUUGAGAACUAAAUGCAAACAGGUUGCCCAGGUCGUUGGAGGAGUUUUUCAACUUUCUUCUGCUGUGGAUGUUGUUCAAAGGUGUUGGUUUCAGUCACUGAGUGGUUCAUAACAUAGGCGAGUUGCAGGCAAGAUUCUUUCUGGUAGAUAUUGUGGAGCCUAAACAUUGCACAACCAAAAACAUUUGAAGGGAAAACCAUGCAUGCGAAAAUGAAAAAGAGAACAGUAGUACUCCUAUUAUACUAGUUGAAUGCACGCGAGAGAGGGAGAGAGAGAGAGAGAGAGAGAGAGAGAGAGAGAGAGAGAGAGAGAGAGAGAGAGGUCAUAUUACUAGUUUCAUGAGAAAAAUGAAUAAAAAAUAACAUAGAACAAAAAGGUUAACACAAAAAAGAUUUAUUUGAAAUCUUAUCCCUUAAGAAAUGUUAAUUGGUGUAUCAAAGUGAGGAUAGUUAGUCAAACUGAAGACUAUAAUACGGGAGUGAUGAAUAAAAGUACCUGAACCAUUCCAUUCUGUAUUUUAGGAAGGAAUCCCUUUGAUAUGGUGGAAUCAUCAUCUUUUUUAAGAAAAGCUUGAACGUUGACAAAGGGAUAGUUAAGCCAAGAUUGGGGUUCAUCCAAAAUUUCAACCAUUGUCAAUAGAUACGGGGGUUUAAGUUAAGAUCCUUCUAGCUCUGUAAAAGACAAAGCAGUAUCUACACCAUUUAAGUUAAAACCCUAAUUCUUUGAGGAGGUGAUUUGAUCACCACCCUCCUUUGCUACUUUCACCAUCAGAACACUUGCCCCAAGAGCUUGCUACUGCUGCUUUGCCCCAUGAAUUAGUCGGUUUUGCACCUUCAUCAGUUCCUUGUGCCUCACCAGAUUGAUUCCAACUAGAGGAUUG
rnacentral:lncRNA from 1 species